rnacentral:rRNA from 1 species
UUUAUUUGAGAGUUUGAUCCUGGCUCAGGAUGAACGCUGGCGGCGUGCCUAAUACAUGCAAGUCGAGCGAAUGGAUUAAGAGCUUGCUCUUAUGAAGUUAGCGGCGGACGGGUGAGUAACACGUGGGUAACCUGCCCAUAAGACUGGGAUAACUCCGGGAAACCGGGGCUAAUACCGGAUAACAUUUUGAACCGCAUGGUUCGAAAUUGAAAGGCGGCUUCGGCUGUCACUUAUGGAUGGACCCGCGUCGCAUUAGC